CAGAAUGAACGCCGGCGGCGUGCUUAACACAUGCAAGUCGAACGAGAUCGGGGGGGCAACUCCCCGGUUGAGUGGCGGACGGGUGAGUAACACGUGGGUAACCUGCCCGGAAGUGUGGAAUACCUCGGGGAAACUCGAGCUAAUACCGCAUGACAUCUUUGGGACGAGAGUCCUGACGAUCAAAGCGGGGUCGCAAGACCUCGCGCUACCGGAUGGGCCCGCGCCCGAUUAGCUAGUUGGCGAGGUAACGGCUCACCAAGGCAACGAUCGGUAGCCGGCCUGAGAGGGUGAUCGGCCACACCGGAACUGAGACACGGUCCGGACUCCUACGGGAGGCAGCAGUGGGGAAUCUUGCGCAAUGGGCGAAAGCCUGACGCAGCAACGCCGCGUGGAGGAUGAAGGCCCUUGGGUUGUAAACUCCUGUCGGCUGGGAAGAAAUCGUUCGGGGCUAAUACCUCCGGACGUUGACUGUACCAGCAAAGGAAGCCCCGGCUAACUCUGUGCCAGCAGCCGCGGUAAUACAGAGGGGGCCAGCGUUAUUCGGAAUUAUUGGGCGUAAAGGGCGCGUAGGCGGCCACGCGUGUCUUUCGUGAAAUCCCUCGGCUUAACUGAGGACGUGCGGAAGAAACUGCGAGGCUCGAGUCCGGGAGAGGGGGGUGGAAUUCCCAGUGUAGCGGUGAAAUGCGUAGAUAUUGGGAGGAACACCGGUGGCGAAGGCGGCCCCCUGGACCGGUACUGACGCUGAGGCGCGAAAGCGUGGGGAGCAAACGGGAUUAGAUACCCCGGUAGUCCACGCCGUAAACGAUGGGCACUUGGUGUCGCGGGUAUCGACCCCUGCGGUGCCGAAGCUAACGCAUUAAGUGCCCCGCCUGGGGAGUACGGUCGCAAGGC
rnacentral:rRNA from 1 species